rnacentral:rRNA from 1 species
GUCGACGGUGAAGCCAAGCUUGCUUGGUGGAUCAGUGGCGAACGGGUGAGUAACACGUGAGCAACCUGCCCUGAACUCUGGGAUAAGCGCUGGAAACGGCGUCUAAUACUGGAUAUGAGCUGCGGAGGCAUCUUCGUGGUUGGAAAGAUUUUUCGGUUUGGGAUGGGCUCGCGGCCUAUCAGCUUGUUGGUGAGGUAAUGGCUCACCAAGGCGUCGACGGGUAGCCGGCCUGAGAGGGUGACCGGCCACACUGGGACUGAGACACGGCCCAGACUCCUACGGGAGGCAGCAGUGGGGAAUAUUGCACAAUGGGCGGAAGCCUGAUGCAGCAACGCCGCGUGAGGGAUGACGGCCUUCGGGUUGUAAACCUCUUUUAGCAGGGAAGAAGCGAAAGUGACGGUACCUGCAGAAAAAGCGCCGGCUAACUACGUGCCAGCAGCCGCGGUAAUACGUAGGGCGCAAGCGUUAUCCGGAAUUAUUGGGCGUAAAGAGCUCGUAGGCGGUUUGUCGCGUCUGCUGUGAAAACCCGAGGCUCAACCUCGGGCCUGCAGUGGGUACGGGCAGACUAGAGUGCGGUAGGGGAGAUUGGAAUUCCUGGUGUAGCGGUGGAAUGCGCAGAUAUCAGGAGGAACACCGAUGGCGAAGGCAGAUCUCUGGGCCGUAACUGACGCUGAGGAGCGAAAGGGUGGGGAGCAAACAGGCUUAGAUACCCUGGUAGUCCACCCCGUAAACGUUGGGAACUAGUUGUGGGGUCCAUUCCACGGAUUCCGUGACGCAGCUAACGCAUUAAGUUCCCCGCCUGGGGAGUACGGCCGCAAGGCUAAAACUCAAAGGAAUUGACGGGGACCCGCACAAGCGGCGGAGCAUGCGGAUUAAUUCGAUGCAACGCGAAGAACCUUACCAAGGCUUGACAUACACGAGAACGCUGCAGAAAUGUAGAACUCUUUGGACACUCGUGAACAGGUGGUGCAUGGUUGUCGUCAGCUCGUGUCGUGAGAUGUUGGGUUAAGUCCCGCAACGAGCGCAACCCUCGUUCUAUGUUGCCAGCACGUAAUGGUGGGAACUCAUGGGAUACUGCCGGGGUCAACUCGGAGGAAGGUGGGGAUGACGUCAAAUCAUCAUGCCCCUUAUGUCUUGGGCUUCACGCAUGCUACAAUGGCCGGUACAAAGGGCUGCAAUACCGCGAGGUGGAGCGAAUCCCAAAAAGCCGGUCCCAGUUCGGAUUGAGGUCUGCAACUCGACCUCAUGAAGUCGGAGUCGCUAGUAAUCGCAGAUCAGCAACGCUGCGGUGAAUACGUUCCCGGGUCUUGUACACACCGCCCGUCAAGUCAUGAAAGUCGGUAACACCUGAAGCCGGUGGCCCAACCCUUGUGGAGGGAGCCGUCGAAGGUGGGAUCGGUAAUUAGGACUAAGU